UAAACUAGUUUUUGUAUAUUAGAUCAAAGAGCAAACCAGUCAUUUGUUAAAAAUUUCAUACAUUUUUACUGUUAAAAACUGGUCCUUAUACCUCAGCAUGAAGUACACAUGGCACAUGUAAUUGCCUAGUCAUUCUGUCAAUUAAACCAGUUUUCAAAAGUAAAAAUGGAUGGAAUUUUUAACAAAAAAGACCAGUUUGCUCUUUGAUUUAAUAUACAGAGACUAAUUUG
rnacentral:pre_miRNA from 1 species